GACGAACGCUGGCGGCGUGCCUAAUACAUGCGAGUUGAGCGCUGAAGGUUGGUACUUGUACCAACUGGAUGAGCAGCGAACGGGUGAGUAACGCGUGGGGAAUCUGCCUUUGAGCGGGGGACAACAUUUGGAAACGAAUGCUAAUACCGCAUAAAAACUUUAAACACAAGUUUUAAGUUUGAAAGAUGCAAUUGCAUCACUCAAAGAUGAUCCCGCGUUGUAUUAGCUAAUUGGUGAGGUAAAGGCUCACCAAGGCGAUGAUACAUAGCCGACCUGAGAGGGUGAUCGGCCACAUUGGGACUGAGACACGGCCCAAACUCCUACGGGAGGCAGCAGUAGGGAAUCUUCGGCAAUGGACGAAAGUCUGACCGAGCAACGCCGCGUGAGUGAAGAAGGUUUUCGGAUCGUAAAACUCUGUUGGUAGAGAAGAACGUUGGUGAGAGUGGAAAGCUCAUCAAGUGACGGUAACUACCCAGAAAGGGACGGCUAACUACGUG
rnacentral:rRNA from 1 species